GGUUAUGGCUCAGCGGUAGAACGCUCACCUAGCAUGUGCAACAUCCUGGGUUCAAUCCUCAGAACCA
rnacentral:tRNA from 1 species